GAUGAACGCUAGCGGCAGGCUUAACACAUGCAAGUCGAGGGGUAUAGGGAGCUUGCUUCCUAGAGACCGGCGCACGGGUGCGUAACGCGUAUACAAUCUACCUUUUACAGAGGGAUAGCCCCAGAGAAAUUUGGAUUAAUACCUCAUAGUAUUUUCGGAUCGCAUGAUUUGAUUAUUAAAGUUCCAAACGGUAAAAGAUGAGUAUGCGUCCAUUAGCUAGAUGGUAAGGUAACGGCUUACCAUGGCAAUGAUGGGUAGGGGUCCUGAGAGGGAGAUCCCCCACACUGGUACUGAGACACGGACCAGACUCCUACGGGAGCAGCAGUGA
rnacentral:rRNA from 1 species